rnacentral:rRNA from 1 species
CCGGGAACUCAAAGGAGACUGCCAGUGAUAAACUGGAGGAAGGUGGGGAUGACGUCAAGUCAUCAUGGCCCUUACGACCAGGGCUACACACGUGCUACAAUGGCGCAUACAAAGAGAAGCGACCUCGCGAGAGCAAGCGGACCUCAUAAAGUGCGUCGUAGUCCGGAUUGGAGUCUGCAACUCGACUCCAUGAAGUCGGAAUCGCUAGUAAUCGUGGAUCAGAAUGCCACGGUGAAUACGUUCCCGGGCCUUGUACACACCGCCCGUCACACCAUGGGAGUGGGUUGCAAAAGAAGUAGGUAGCUUAACCUUCGGGAGGGCGCUUACCACUUUGUGAUUCAUGACUGGGGUGAAGUCGUAACAAGGUAACCGUAGGGGAACCUGCGGUUGGAUCACCUCCUUACCUGAAAGAA